rnacentral:rRNA from 1 species
UACGAAGGGGGCUAGCGUUGCUCGGAAUCACUGGGCGUAAAGCGCACGUAGGCGGCUUUCUAAGUCAGGGGUGAAAUCCUGGAGCUCAACUCCAGAACUGCCUUUGAUACUGGGGAGCUCGAGUCCGGAAGAGUGAGUGGAACUCCGAGUGUAGAGGUGAAAUUCGUAGAUAUUCGGAAGAACACCAGUGGCGAAGGCGGCUCACUGGUCCGGUACUGACGCUGAGGUGCGAAAGCGUGGGGAGCAAACAGG